rnacentral:rRNA from 1 species
GCAUUUGAAACUGGCAGACUAGAGUACUGUAGAGGGGGGUAGAAUUUCAGGUGUAGCGGUGAAAUGCGUAGAGAUCUGAAGGAAUACCGGUGGCGAAGGCGGCCCCCUGGACAGAUACUGACACUCAGAUGCGAAAGCGUGGGGAGCAAACAGGAUUAGAUACCCUGGUAGUCCACGCCGUAAACGAUGUCUACUUGGAGGUUGUGGGGGCCCGCACAAGCGGUGGAGCAUGUGGUUUAAUUCGAUGCAACGCGAAGAACCUUACCUACUCUUGACAUCCAGAGAACUUUCCAGAGAUGGAUUGGUGCCUUCGGGAACUCUGAGACAGGUGCUGCAUGGCUGUCGUCAGCUCGUGUUGUGAAAUGUUGGGUUAAGUCCCGCAACGAGCGCAACCCUUAUCCUUGUUUGCCAGCGAGUAAUGUCGGGAACUCCAGGGAGACUGCCGGUGAUAA